rnacentral:rRNA from 1 species
GCCACGAUGCAUAGCCGACCUGAGAGGGUGAUCGGCCACAUUGGGACUGAGACACGGCCCAAACUCCUACGGGAGGCAGCAGUAGGGAAUCUUCGGCAAUGGACGAAAGUCUGACCGAGCAACGCCGCGUGAGUGAAGAAGGUUUUCGGAUCGUAAAACUCUGUUGUUAGAGAAGAACAAGGAUGAGAGUAACUGUUCAUCCCUUGACGGUAUCUAACCAGAAAGCCACGGCUAACUACGUGCCAGCAGCCGCGGUAAUACGUAGGUGGCAAGCGUUGUCCGGAUUUAUUGGGCGUAAAGCGAGCGCAGGCGGUUUCUUAAGUCUGAUGUGAAAGCCCCCGGCUCAACCGGGGAGGGUCAUUGGAAACUGGGAGACUUGAGUGCAGAAGAGGAGAGUGGAAUUCCAUGUGUAGCGGUGAAAUGCGUAGAUAUAUGGAG